rnacentral:rRNA from 1 species
ACUAGCCGUUUUAAGGGGCUGCUGGCACGUAGUUAGCCGGCGCUUCUUCUGCAGGUACCGUCACUCUCGCUUCUUCCCUGCUGAAAGAGGUUUACAACCCGAAGGCCGUCAUCCCUCACGCGGCGUCGCUGCAUCAGGCUUUCGCCCAUUGUGCAAUAUUCCCCACUGCUGCCUCCCGUAGGAGUCUGGGCCGUGUCUCAGUCCCAGUGUGGCCGGUCGCCCUCUCAGGCCGGCUACCCGUCGUCGCCUUGGUGAGCCGUUACCUCACCAACAAGCUGAUAGGCCGCGGGCUCAUCCUGCACCGCCGGAGCUUUCCAACCUCCCAGAUGCCCAGGAGGCUCGUAUCCGGUAUUAGACCCCGUUUCCAGGGCUUGUCCCAGAGUGCAGGGCAGAUUGCCCACGUGUUACUCACCCGUUCGCCACUAAUCCACCCCGAAGGGCUUCAUCGUUCGACUUGCAUGUGUUAAGCACGCCGCCAGCGUUCGUCCUGAGCCAGGAUCAAACUCUCCGU